rnacentral:rRNA from 1 species
CGGGGUGCAGCAGGCGCGAAAACUUUACAAUGCCGGCAACGGCGAUAAGGGGACCUCGAGUGCCAGGUUACAAAUCUGGCUGUCGUGAUGCCUAAAAAGCAUUGCAUAGCAAGGGCCGGGCAAGACCGGUGCCAGCCGCCGCGGUAACACCGGCGGCUCGAGUGGUAACCGUUAUUAUUGGGUCUAAAGGGUCUGUAGCCGGCCGGAUAAGUCUCUUGGGAAAUCCAGCAGCUCAACUGUUGGGCUUUCAGGAGAUACUGUCUGGCUCGAGGCCGGGAGAGGUGAGAGGUACUUCAGGGGUAGGGGUGAAAUCUUGUAAUCCUUGAAGGACCACCAGUGGCGAAGGCGUCUCACCAGAACGGACCUGACGGCAAGGGACGAAAGCUAGGGGCACGAACCGGAUUAGAUACCCGGGUAGUCCUAGCCGUAAACGAUACUCGCUAGGUGUCGGCCACGGUGCGACCGUUGUCGGUGCCGUAGGGAAGCCGUGAAGCGAGCCACCUGGGAAGUACGGCCGCAAGACGGAAACUUAAAGGAAUUGGCGGGGGAGCAC